AAGUCCCUGCAUCUCUCCUGUGAGUUACUGGGUGCCUAGGCCAUGCCAGCCUGCAUUCAUCUGUACCAUGACCUGAAGAGGCAGAGGCGGUGAUCGCUGGCCCAGUCCCCACCUGGGGAAACUGAGGUUUCACAGUUGAGUGGUGGAGUGGGGGCAGGGCCUGGGUCUGACCCUAGAGACUAGGUUUUGUGUUCAGGUGUCUCCGUGGUGAUGAGCAGGGCUUCAUUCAGGGCCGCUGUCCCCACCGAGGGGACUAUGGGAGGGUGUGUGAGCAGGAGGUGAGACUGGAGCCAUCAGGAAGCUGGGAGACCCCACAGGCCUACACGGCCCAGGCUGCAGUUCUGCAUUUGGCCACCAGGGGACGCCCCAGCCAACAAACAAUAUUGGUUUCUGUCCCGCCACCGGCAGGAAACGGGCUCCUACUUCCAGAAAAAGUGCUCCUGCGACUCCAGGAUGCCAGGUGCAUUACUGGGUCACGCUCUACUCAGAGCCUUGAACGGUGAGGUUUGGGUCAUGCUCUUCUCAGUACGGGUAACCAACGGAACCAUGUCCUGCUUGGCAAGCCUGCCUGCUACUGUAAAUACCUCUCCUUGAACCCCCCCUUGGUAUCUCUACAGCAGAUUGGCUGUGUAUCGAUAACACAAAACCCCAUUUGAAAAGGAAAAUCUGAGAAGACUUCAGAAACUGGCCUAUAAAGAAGCCCUGUGCUAACAGUCAAGACAAACAGAAAGAGGCCUUGAAGACAUUUCACAGCUCCACUCUGCAGUUGUAAUUUUCAGUAUUAUUGUAAAUGAGAGAGGUUUAGUUGAUUCACCUUUCUGUAGGCUGUGAAGGAAGCAUAGUAUCUUCUGUUUCUGGGAGGAGUCAGGGAGCCUCCUAACGACACCAGAAGGCCAAGGGACAAUGAGAUGUCUCCUACGGCAAGAGUAGGAACAAGACAGAGUGAGGAAAGAGGUUCCACAGCCUUUUAAACAAUCAGAUCUCCUGAGAACUCACUCACUCUCAGGAGGACAGCAUCAAGGGGAUGGUGCUUUAUCAUUCGUGAAGAAUCUACCCAUACCCUUUUACGGCAAAAUCUUUUUCCACCUAGGCCCCACCUCCAACAUUAGGAAGUGUAAUUCCACGAGUUUUGGUAGGGACACAGAGACAAACCGUAUUAUUCUGCCCCUGGCCCCAUGAACCUCAUGAAGGCAAAACACAUUCAUGCCUUACCAGCAGUCUCCCAAAGUCUUAACUCAUUUCAGCAUUAACUCAAAGCUAUAAAGUCCAAAGUCUCAUCUGAGUCAGGGCUACAGUCUUUUUCGCCUAUGACUCUUUGAAAUAAAAAGCAAGGUCCCUGCUUCUAAGGUGCAGUGAUGGUACAGGCACUGUGUAAGCUUUCCGUACCCAACAGGAAGACAUCUUCCAGAAAGCAUGGUUUCCUUCUCCGACCUCCUCGGCCUGCCCUUCACUUGUCCGUGUCUCUGUCGGCAUUUUUGGCACAACCAUUUUCCCAUCUCCAAGAUGGUCCAAACAUUUUAUCAUCUGUCUGUCUUCUUUUGAGCCCUCCAAACUCUUCCAACCUGUGCCCAUUCCCUAAUUCCAAAGCUGCUUCCACAUUUUCAGGUAUCUUUGUAGCAAAGCUUUCAUCUUCAUCUGCCUUUCUCUGUAUGAUUUAUUUUGAAAAAGAGGAUUAAUUGGCUCAUGGAUCUACAAGGUGGACAGGAAACACAGUGGCUUCUGCCUCUGGGAGGCCUUAGAAAUCUUUCAAUCAUCUUGGCAGGCAAAAAAAGAGUGAGUGGUCUCACAUGGCAAGAGGAAAACUCGGAGAGUGGAGCGGAUGACACAGUUUUCAAUGACCAGAUCUCAGGUGAAGUCACUCAUAAUGAUGAGGACAGUAGCAAGGGGACGGUGCUAAAUCACUCAAGAAAUUUGCCUUCACGAUUCAAUCACCUGACAGCUGGUUCUGCCUUCACCAUUAGGAAGUAUAACUCGACAUGGGAUUUGGUGGGAUGCAUACUCGAAUUGCAUCAUCAGUCUUUGAGUAUAAAGACAUCCACAGCAGGCUUUAUCCCACCAGCUUCUUCGAGACUCUUCAUAGGGUUUGAGGUGUACAACAUACACACUAAAAUACUCAUACUUCAAAAAGCAGUAAGGUAAGUGGUAUUAUCAUUCUUGGAGAGUAACAGUGGUAGUGUAGGCAUUUACAGCGUGAUUUAGUUAAUGUUUGCUGCUGUUUCUAUUCUAUCACCAUAUUAACUGUUUCCUACACAACUCUGUGUUCAGCUGGGUUUCAGCUGAGCACAAAACCACGCUUGUACUACCACCGACAGCUGGCGCUGGCUCACUGACAGUGUUAUUAUUCUGCGGUAUAAAGUAUCCUUGAACUGGAGAAAGUCCACAGUCAAAUAUCUGGUCAUUCAACACUAUCAAUUCCUGGUUGACUUUUUGAAAAAAUAGUAUCUUUUGUUGAAAGAAAUGCUGCAUCUGUGACUUCAAGUCUCUCACGUGAGUUGGAGGGAAGUGAUGAAUUUCAGCCAAAGUGGCCAAAGAAAUCCUGUUCCUGUGAUCCUGACAUCCUCGGCCUCUGCAUGUCUGUCUUCCCUUCUGCCACAUGUUGCCUGCUCUCCGUGACUUUGGUAAGAGCUUCCUUAUGGAUGUGGAUGAUGUCCAGGAUGUUGGCCAGGUGUCCCUGAGAGAGCACGAAUAGGUCCAUGACUGGUCCCAGGGUCCUGCCUGGGAUGAUGAGCAAAGAUCUCACUGAUGGUGUUGAAGGCACCUCUGGUUAAGUGGAUGGCCUGCUCCAGCUUCAAGGCCUGGCUGAGGCUGAAGAACUGGUCACCUGCUGAUUCUUCUUAAAGUCUGUCACCAUCAUCUGCUUCCAUGUCGACUCACUGGCUGUGAUGUUGAUCUGAGUGUCCUGCUGUCCAUCAGGCUGUCAAUCUUGCUCUCCCACUCCUAAAGGCUGAGAGCCACCCUGCGGGUGGGCUUGGGGUCAAGAAGAAGAUGGCACUCACCAUCUCAUUUUUCUGUCUUCCUCUUGCCCUGUCUCCAGACUGUCUCUUCAGUGCUGGUGGGGCAUGUCAAGAAGUGAAGGAAGGUGUGGCACUGUGCCCAUGCCCAGAAGCUGGCUGUGUGGUUCAUCCACCUGAUUGGGCCCUUCUGCUCUUGAACAUAAAGUUCUCCUCAAGAUGGCCUGUUGUCUGCCUCUUGGCACCCAAAAAGCCCACAAUGCUGUAUGAGCCCUGAUGCAUGGACUGGAGCCCCAAAGGCAGCGCACACCCUGCUCCUGAGCCUGCUGCUCACGUCCUCUGUGUGGCUCCAUUUGCAUCAUAGUUGUUGCACUGAGGCCCGUGCAUGCCAGGCAAGGCCAAGCUGGAUCAAAGAGCAACCAACCACCUCUGCAAGGGUGUGCCAGGAGCAGGUGGACCAGCCACCAACCUUACUCACUGCCAGUCAGGGUAAAUCAGUUAUGCCCUGGAGGUAGGGCCCCAGUGCCAUCUGCUUUUCCUCAGGCCUUCUCUCCAUUACUCAUCAGGUGGUGGCCACUCAGGCUGUGGGAACCUGGCCUCCCUGCUUCCCUGAGUGGGUGAGGUUGGUGACUGGUCCACCUGCUCCAAACACACCCUUGCAGAGGUGGCUGGUUGCUCUUUGAGUCAGCUUUGGCAUGCACAGGUUCCAGGUACUGACAUGCUGCUCUGAGCUUGUCCUGUCUUGGGUCAAAUUUUAAGUCUAGCCAGGGCCACCGAAGGCUGAGUCCCCUGGGUUGUAUUCCUGGCUGUUGCUGGGACGCCAUGGUGCCCCUCCCCUCCAGGGCUCAGGAUGAGGCCCAACUGGGCCAGGAUCCUUUAGGUAAGGGACAUGUGUCCCAGGAGGGGGCCUCUGUCCCACUGGUUGGGUGAGAGGAUGUAUGGCAUGCUGCUGGCUGUUAGGGUUGUUAGGAUGCCGUGUUCUUUCCUUCAGGGACCUCAAAGUAACCAUCUUCCCCUUUCAGAGUAACUUCCCAAGGCCCAGCUGGCUGCAUGCCGCCCUGGCUUCUUCCAUGUGGUGCUGGUCACUACCCACCCAGGGUGGUCAGAUGCAGGCAUCAUGCCGGGGAUUUGUCUCUGGACAUUCAUCUUGGUCAUCAUGGCAUUGAACUGGGCCUGGUGACAGGGCCCUGAUGGCGUUUUCCUGGGUGGUCCUGGGGGUGUCCAGAGGAGAUACAGAAUGGACUUGCUGCAAGGAUGAAUGAGAUAACUGUCAGCACAGAAUAGGCAUCUGGUGAGCGUUCAGGGAUCACCCUCAGUAGCUGCCCAGAGGCCAAAACCACCCACCUGAUAGUGACUGCCCCCAAGCCAGGAGGAAGAAAAGAGCAGGUCCCACUCACCUGAGCCUAAUCAGUCAGCUGUGCUGAAAUGUGCCUCUUGCCUAGAAAACAGUUCUGUGUUCAGAACCAGUCACAGACACUGCUGUGUGUCUCUCACUGCUCCAUGACACAGGCUAUGGCAGCUCAGCAACGGCAACAUCACAGGGUGACACAACCCAUCAAAGUGGGAACCUGCCUGAAUCAACAGGGCUGAGUCAGUGUCCUCUAUCCCCUGAACUGAUAGGUGUGCAUGUAAUGUGUUUCUCUCUCUCUCUCUGUGUGUGUGUGUGUCUCUCUCUCUCCGUGUGUGUGUGUGUGUGUGUGUGUGUGUGUCUUGCUUCUCUGGUCAGGCCUCGCUACUCCACUCAUGGGUGCACUCAAGUCCUCAUUACUGUCACUAUCAGUCCCUGGGUCAGCAUUACAGCCUCCACAGGUGUUCCCCAAUCUCAGCCUUGUCCACCAAGGGUGGUCCUUGCAAUACAGACAGAGGAGGGCACCAGGCAGAGCAGAGAGGGCUGGCAUCCUCUCUAGGUAGAACCCAGGUCGUGUGUAAAGUUCUAGUGCUGGAUUCAACACAUCUUCUCAUGUUCUCUUUCCAGCAACCCUCUAGGGUGCCUGACUCCCCUUCCCUACAGAUGGAGGCAAGGAGGCUCCACAGACAAAUCCCCUGCCUGAGGUCACACAGUGGCCAACUGAUCAGGUGCCUCUGAGCAGGUCCCCACUGAUGGGGCCCCUAAUGAUGACUCCUCCAUUGACUAGACCCCCUGACUGAGUCCCCAUUGACCAUGUCUCCCUAACUAGGCCCUCACUUAAUAGGUCUCAAGGACCAGACCCCAGUGACCAAUUUCCCACUGACCUGGUCCCCACUGACCAGGUUCCCACCGACAAGACCACAAUUUACCAGGUUGCCACUCUCCUGACCCCAACUGAACAAUUCUCUGUGGAUCAGUCCCCAGCUGACUGGACCCUCUCUGACCAGGCUCCAAGCCGCUAUGGUCCCACACUGACCAGGCCCCUAGUAUAUGGUAUAGACCCCACCAACCAGGUUUUCAGUGUUUAUGUUCCAACCAAUCAGGGACCACUAAUAAGGCUACCACUGACCACAUACCCACUGACCAGGCUUCCAGUGAUUAGGUCACCAGGUCCCCACGACGAGGCCUUCACCACUAACCAGGUCCCUGCUGAUCAGGUCCCAACUAUGUCCUGAGGACCAGGUCAACACUGACCAACACUGACCAUGGUCCCCUGACCAGGCCCCUGAGAAGCAGUGCUCACAGUCUCAUCCCCCUCAGCCCACAGACCCUUCCUCCUUGCCCAGAGGUCAGGCCCUGGGGGUUAUCUUGGCAUAAGGCCUCUCCUCCAAGACACAGGGAGGGACAGAUGGCCUCAGGCUGCUUCACUCUCAUCCCCCAAGUCCCUCUGGGCCCAUCUCAAAGGAGACAGUGAGGUGGCCUGGCACUGCCUGGACAUGCAAUCUCUCCUAUUCCUGAGUCUCAGAGUGAAAGGAAUGAGGGACAUUUGGCAGAUCAGACACCCUGUGCUGCUGGGUCUCCGAGGGGCCUUCCCACAGAGCACUGAUCUAGAGACACAGCACAGAGGCUGCAGGAAGACUAAUCUGGAACCUUCUAGGCUGAGCCAGGGUACAUAUAAGGACUGUUCCCAGACAGCCAGAAGGCCCUUUGCCAGUUUCUUGGUACCUCAGUGGAUGCAGCCGUGGUUCUUCUGUUGGGGACAAAGGGCACACGCUGGGGAGGGCUCGCCUGGGCUUCCUUGUUGGAGCCACCUCUGCUUCUAAGAAAAUCACUCAUGCCAGGGCUGGGGCAGAGAAAAUACAAAAUUAGCUGGGAACAUCUUGUGCCAGAAAGUAAAAACGUGCUGACAGAGUAACAGGGACAAAUUAAAAAGUCAUAAAGUCAGCUCGAAAUGUCUACCACUGGGCUAAUCCUGGGCAAUUGGAGGACCAAAAUCAUAAGCUUUCUCUCUUCCUUAUUCAUUGGUUCUGUUUCUCCCUUGAGAACAAAGGAGUGAAUAAGGAUAUAGUCAUCUGGCAACCAUCACAGUAAUAAUUGUUCAAAUACAAGUCAUUAAUGAAAUGCCAAAUCUAGUGGGUUCUGAGGAGUAACCAGAUAUUUACAGAGCCUCAAAGUAUCUUCACACAAAACACUGUUGAACUACAGAAAGGAAAUCAUAACAUUAGCAUGGGCAAACGGGGCAGGUCCUCCUUUAUUACUAGUAAUCAAAACUGUCAAAUGCAAAGAAGCCUUCGGUGGCCUUUACGAAAGUAUCAAUGGUGAUUUGCUUGCUUGGCUGUUUAAACAGCUGACAUUUGGGCAAUUUGAGUAUGUCAAACUCAAUAACGCUGGUUUUCAUUUGCAAGAUCCACUUAAACUAAGGGUAAAAAAAUCAUUUCAAAUACCAUAUGAGGCUGGGCGCGGUGGCUCACGCCUGUAAUCCCAGCACUUUGGGAGUCCAAGGCGGGUGGAUCACGAGGUCAAGAGAUCGAGACCAUCCUGGUCAACAAGGUGAAACCCCGUCUCUACUAAAAAUACAAAAAUUAGCUGGGCAUGGUGGUGCGUGCCUGUAAUCCCAGCUACUCAGGAGGCUGAGGCAGGAGAAUUGCUUGAACCCAGAAGGCAGAGGUUGCGGUGAGCCGAGAUCGCGCCAUUGCACUACAGUCUGGGUAACAAGAGUGAAACUCCGUCUCAGAAAAAUAAAAAUAAACAAAUAAAAAUAAAAAAGCAUAUUAAUCUUCAUUAUACACGAUUUGAAAAUAUUCUACUUUAGUAAAGAUUGUGAUGUUAUAUAUUUUAUGAGAAACAAUUAAAAUGUCAUGUAAAAAUCCCAUUAAUAAAGUUUUUGACCUUUUUAAA